rnacentral:rRNA from 1 species
UACGUAGGGGGCCAGCGUUGUUCGGAAUCACUGGGCGUAAAGGGCGCGUAGGCGGCCCUCCUUGUCGCGUGUGAAAGCCCCGGGCUCAACCUGGGAACGGCGCGCGAGACGGGGGGGCUGGAGUUCGGGAGAGGAGCGUGGAAUUCCCAGUGUAGAGGUGAAAUUCGUAGAUAUUGGGAAGAACACCGGUGGCGAAGGCGGCGCUCUGGACCGAGACUGACACUGAGAGACGAAAGCUAGGGGAGCGAAUGGG